UUCUUCUUGCUUUGUUGUUAUUCCUUUCCCCCCCGUUUUUUUUCUUUUUCCCUCUACUAUUUUGCUUAUAAUACAUUACAAUG
rnacentral:ribozyme from 11 species